AAAAUGCCGAAAAUCGUAACUUACCGGCAGCAGGGCUCUCUGGUGCGGGGCUCCUCCAGCUCGAGUCGCGAUUUAGUGUUUUGCUCCAGUCAACCUGUAGAGGAAUGAAUAGUGGUCACAAUGGUGUAAAAAUUACAUCGAAUGGGAAUCGAGAAUGGCCUCAUCGGAGACAAAAAUUGAGAAAACCCGCAGUGGCACCACUGGGUUUCGG
rnacentral:lncRNA from 1 species